rnacentral:misc_RNA from 1 species
AGAGAGAGAGAGAGAGGGGGAGAGAGAGAUGGAGUACUCUGGCGAUGGAUAUGAUGUGGUGGUUAUCGGUGCAGGCAUCAUGGGCAGCUGCACUGCCUAUGAACUAGCAAAAAGGGGUGAAAAAACUCUUCUGUUGGAGCAAUUCGACUUCCUCCACCACCGUGGAUCAUCACAUGGAGAGUCGCGCACUAUACGAGCAGCCUACCCACAAGACUACUACUGUGCUAUGGCGAUGGAAUCCUUCACCCUUUGGGAGGAAGCCCAAUCAGAAAUCGGCUUCAAGGUUUAUUUCAAAACACAGCAAUUCAAUAUGGGGCCAUCAGAUGACAAGGAACUCCUCUCCGUUCUCUCCAGCUUCCAGAAAAACUCUGUUCCCUAUCAGAUUCUGGACAGUCAACAAACGGCAGAGAAAUUUUCUAGCAGGAUUAACUUGCCAGAGAACUGGAUUGGGGUAUUUACUGAGCUUG